UGAAAAUAUCUUAUUCAUUCAUACUUAGACAAAAGACUCUCAGAGUCAAAUGGUGGAACCCACUCAUCCUAUUUUUUAAAAUAUAAUGGCAGAGCUAUGGCUGUCCUUGUUUGAUAUCUCCCCAGAAUUCAUUCCCUCUUUUUUAUUCAGGUAUGCACUGCCAAUUGCCUAUGUUGCACAUCAUUUUUAAUCAAUUUAGUUCUUUUAAGCAUUCUGUUGAAUUUAAUUUGGACCUCAAACUUAAUUUGGCAUUUAGACUUAGAAGCAAUAAACAUACACUUAUUGAUCAUCUAUCUGCUUCUGUUUUGUUAGCAGCUGUGGGCAUUCAUCCAAGAAGACUCAAUCCUUGACUUCGAGGAACACAACUUCAAGCUGGAGUAUAGAGAUACGGUAGCAUAAUUGAGAAUACAUGAGAAAUAUGAUAGAUAACAAAUGAGCAGCAAUUCAAAUGGUGAAAACAUCCUUUUAAAUGGCUGCUAAGCACUAAGCAUGGGACUGAGCUCUCAGUAAGCACAUGAUGAGUGUUGAAGAGAUCAGAAUUUUAGUGGAUUCAUGGAAGACUUGAAAUCCAAUGUCCAUCUACUGCUGAAGUACCAGGAGCAAUAAAUUACCUCUUUUUGUAGGUGAUUAAAUAACAAAGAGCAGCUGAGGCAUCUCAUUCUCACCAGGCCCAAAUCACGCUAUUGAAUGAAUUCUCUAACUGUGGGAGGAAUCUUUCUAAUACACAGGCAGAAAGGAGAUGAAAGAAACCAACCUUUCAAAGCUUCAUGCCAUGGAAGGACGUGACUGUCUUCCUCCUGGGCGAUCAUUGACGUCCCAUCAAGGUUGAAUUACUGGCUGAAUAGGUCUAGGAGGAUGAAUCUAAAAUCAAAUGCCAGUUGAAUAGCACAAUCUAUGAAGAAAGGCAGUGGAUGCAAUUGGACAAUCAUGCGUGAGGGAAUAUAAGUUUGGUUUAUUCAGAACUGAGAGUGACUGAAUCAUCUUGUCAGUCAGUGGUCAAUACAUAUUCUAGGAAAACCUACCUUGUUUCAGAUGACUUCCAGCCUGAGGAUUUGGCAGAACUCUUUCCUCCUCAUAUAAUUUCACCUUCUCAUUCCAUCUGUUUCCAGUGGAAAACUGACUCUAAUUAUCUGCAAUAUUUGGGGCUGUCCUAUCAAUUUCUACUAUAUUGAGGGAAACUGCUUUCUUUUAAGUUAUGGAUAAUCCUCAUUGAAUGUUCAUCUUUGCGGUACUUAAAUUGUGACUCAGAGCAUUUCACAUUGGACUAGUCACAAAUGCAGUUGUGGAGUUUGAAAGUGUUUAAUCUGGAUGCAGGCUCUGUUCUCUGAGCUCUAACUACUUAGUGUGCCCUGGGUAAGCCCUGUCAGCCUCCAUGGGGGCUUGUCAGCAAUGCAGGCUCUCAGGCCCCACUCCAGACCUUCUAAAUCAGUAUCUGCCUCCUACCAGGAUUCCCAGCAGGUUGGAGGUUAUUGCUGUAUGGUCAGCAUGAGUCAGCAUCUGGUGCUCCAUGAAUCAGAAGCAGCCCAAUUUGCUCUGCAUGUCAGGUUUUUGAAGGUGGGAGAACUUCAAGACCAUCGGCAAUAUUGCCAUCCCUCUCAUGGACUCCAUAGGUCUUGACUGUGAAGGAUGACAAGUUCUCAGCUCUUGGAGAUGGGAAGUAGGCUGAGAAGGAGCUGGUCUGGGCCAGGGGACUAACACUGCCAUCACCAAGGAGGCGAUACAAAAACUACCACUACAGUGGGUAAAGUGGCAUUUGAAAUCGUGUUCUAGUCCAGGCUGGUAUUAGUGUUCAGAGGUCCAACCAGGCACAUAACACCAGAAAUCUCUGGGCCCAGGUGCUUUUAGUGACAAGUGAAUAGAAGGUCUUGCUUCUAAGAAGGUCCAUCCUGGAAGACACAGGACCAUGCCUCUGUUAGGCACCCACAGAAGGGUAUAGUAAUGAGGGCAGGCAAGGGCUGGGAAGGUUGUCAAUGAGCCAUUCAUUGAAUGAAUAUUGAUUAAGCUUUUACUAUGUGACAGACUCUGUGCUACAUUUUAGGAAUACAGUAAUAAACACUCAAAAACCUUUCUCUUUUGGAGCAUAUGUUUCAAUAGGUCUCAACCCAGAGAGCUAUAGAUUCCAGUCCUGUUGAGAACUAUAGCACAAACUACCAACCAGGUCUGAUGACAGAGACUGGUCAGAUAUUCUGGGUGGUAUCUGUGGUUUGUGUGGGCCUACAGAGACCUGCUGAGAAGUCCAUCCGGGUUAGGCAGUGACAACAGAGUCCUAACACCAUCAGAGUUGGUUUCAUUAACUCAGAGCAGGAAUGGGGAUGUAAUCUGCAGAGAGGCAGAAAGGCAAGCGAUCCCUGGAUGAAUAGGGCAGGGGCUAGCCAGUGUCCACUCAGAGUCCCUGAAUUUUAAUGUAGCUCAGCCACCAUACCUUAGCCAGCAGCCAGUGAAAAAGAAUAACAGACUCAAACCCCUUUUGCUCUGGCUUCUUCCCUUACUCUUAAAACACCCUCCUCUUCCCCAGAAUCCAUCAGAGGAAUGUCCCUUAGAUGUGAUGACAGAAUUCUCCUUCUUCUGUUUUGACCUCAGCCUCCUGGAGCUAGUGCCCAUUCAUUUUGGGACUUCAUGCUUUUGACUGUUUGGGGUAAAACUCCAAAUAUGAAUAUUCUUGGCUCCAGGCCUUCCUGUCUACCCACCUGGCCUGCAUCCUGGUCAAACCUACAUUAGCAACCUUUAAGAGAGGACUGAUCAUUUGCCAUGAACCCAUGGCUCCAGGGGGCAAGCCCGUUGCUAUGGCAAUGUGGAUGAAAGCAUGCUGUCACUCUGCUUUGGGACUGUGCGGGCUCAGGAGGGGAACAUCAACCUCUGGAGGGAGAUAACAACCCUUGUGGGCCAAUUAUAGCAAAAUGCCUCCUUCACCAAGCCCUAGCAGGUCCUAUGGCCCGCUGUCCUGCCCCCUCCCUAGGGCUGCCACUAUUCCUGCCCCUGGGGAGAUUUGCAGGGAAUCCAGAGAAAUUACCAGGUUUCAUUAUGCAGCUUUGAAUCUACAUGCCGAUUCUCUAGAGGCCAAAAGGAUGACAUUUCUCUUUUCUUGCUGAAACGAGGAUGUGGAAAGAUGAUGAGCCCACUAGUGCAACGUGGUGAUCCCUCGGGGAAGGGGACCGCUGGCUGCCGGCAGAGAGCCGUGGGGGUCAAGUCCAUCAUGCCUCUCAUUCCGUUGGCACUGGUCGACUUCUACAGGGUGACCUCUACCUGCCGGCCUACACAGCCAUUCAACCCACUUUCA